rnacentral:SRP_RNA from 2 species
GCUGGGCGUGGUGGCGCAUGCCUAUAGUCCCAGCUACUCAGGAGGCUGAGGUAGGAGAAUCGCUUGAACCUGGGAGGUGGAGGUGGAGGUUGCAGUGAGCCGAGAUCGCGCCACUGCACUGCAGCUGGGAGACAGAACGAGACUCCAUCUCUUUUUUUUUUUUUUUUUUUUUUUUUUUUUGAGAUGGAGUCUCGCUCUGUCCCCCAGGCCGGAGUGCAGUGGCGUGAUCUCGGCUCACUGCAAGCUCCGCCUCCCGGGUUCACGCCAUUCUCCUGCCUUAG